rnacentral:piRNA from 1 species
UAACGACGAUUUGAGAGCAAUAGUUAUU